rnacentral:rRNA from 1 species
UGCGAAUGGCUCAUUAAAUCAGCUAUGGUUCCUUAGAUCGUACAUACUACAUGGAUAACUGUAGUAAUUCUAGAGCUAAUACAUGCCACAAUGCCCUGACCCGAGAGGGAACGGGUGGAUUUAUUAGAACAGAACCAAUCGGUUGUGGCUUCGGCUGCUUCCGUUGUACUCUGUGAUGACUCUGGAUAACUUCACUGAUCGCAGUCGGCCUUGUGUCGGCGACGGAUCUUUCAAAUGUCUGCCCUAUCAAUUUUCGAUGGUAGGUGACCUGCCUACCAUGGUGAUAACGGGUAACGGGGAAUCAGGGUUCGAUUCCGGAGAGGGAGCCUGAGAAACGGCUGCCACUUCUAAGGAAGGCAGCAGGCACGCAAAUUACCCAAUCCCGGCACGGGGAGGUAGUGACGAAAAAUACGGAUACGGGACUCAACAGAGGCUCCGUAAUUCGAAUGAGUACACCUUAAAUCCUUUAACGAGGAUCAACUGGAGGGCAAGUCUGGUGCCAGCAGCCGCGGUAACUCCAGCUCCAGAAGCGUAUAUUAAAGUUGUUGCAGUUAAAAAGCUCGUAGUUGGAUCUGGGUCGCAUGGCUACAUGCCGUUGCUUGUAUUCUUGGCCUGGUCACGACUGGGUCGAGUUUGCGAGUCGGUGUCGUGGUUGUGCAGCCUUUCUGCUGUGUCUGUUUCGACAGGUGCUGACUGAAUCGGUGAGCUCGCUUGCUGGUUUGUUGGCAUGCUUCCAGGUGCCUUUAACCGGGUGUCGGGGGCGGACGGCACGUUUACUUUGAACAAAUUUGA